GCCCUGGUAGCUCAAUUGGCUAGAGCGUGGGACUUUUACCAACACGACACACGUUGGAACUAAGAGUCAUCCCAAGGUUGCGGGUUCGACCCCCGCCUGGGGCG